rnacentral:rRNA from 1 species
GUAGGUGGCAAGCGUUGUCCGGAAUUAUUGGGCGUAAAGCGCGCGCAGGCGGUUCUUUAAGUCUGAUGUGAAAGCCCACGGGCUCAACCGUGGAGGGUCAUUGGAAACUGGAGAACUUGCGUACAGAAGAGGAAAGCGGAAUUCCACGUGUAGCGGUGAAAUGCGUAGAGAUGUGGAGGAACACCAGUGGCGAAGGCGGCUUUCUGGUCUGUAACUGACGCUGAGGCGCGAAAGCGUGGGGAGCAAACAGGAUUAGAUACCCUGGUAGUCCACGCCGUAAACGAUGAGUGCUAAGUGUUAGGGGGUUUCCGCCCCUUAGUGCUGCAGCUAACGCAUUAAGCACUCCGCCUGGGGAGUACGACCGCAAGGUUG